rnacentral:rRNA from 1 species
GACAGAGGGUGCAAACGUUGUUCGGAAUUACUGGGCGUAAAGCGCGUGUAGGCGGCCCUGCAAGUCGGGUGUGAAAUCCCACGGCUCAACCGUGGAAGUGCAUUCGAAACUGCAGGGCUAGAGUCCUGGAGAGGAAGGUGGAAUGCUUGGUGUAGAGGUGAAAUUCGUAGAUAUCAAGCGGAACACCGAUGGCGAAGGCGGCCUUCUGGACAGUGACUGACGCUGAGACGCGAAAGCGUGGGGAGCAAACAGGG